AUGCUGAAUGGUAACCUGACCUUAGGGUUUCUGGGCGUCUCUGGUGGUUUGCUUGGGGAAGACCUCUGUCAGAAUGCAGAGAGGUGUCUUCCUUGAGGCUGUUGGCCCAGGCUGCGGGAUGGCAGCCUGCUCUGCCAUGGCCCUGUCUGGUGAUUUGGUUGAGAAGCUCUUUCUCUCAAGUGGUAAACCUAUAAAAUAAGAACCAAGCCAGAAUUCUCUGGUCCUGUCGGUGCUGAAGGAACAGCAAGAGGCAGAGUGAGGUCCGGCACAUCUUUUCACACAUCUCAUCCCAGCAGUUUGUCAAAUAAAAUACAAGAUGUCCAGUUAA
rnacentral:lncRNA from 1 species